rnacentral:tRNA from 1 species
GCUAGCGUAGCUAAAUUAA